GUCGCAAUUUUCGAUAUCGAAAUUAAUGCGAACGCACCCACUUAUCAUUGCAAGUAAUUAACCUUCACAACAAAGCUGUGUUUUUUUUUUGGUGCUGCUAAAUUUCAAGUAAAAAUGCAUAAAAACAGGAAAAUUCUUCAAUUUUCCUGGGAAAGUCAAGUCCCUACCGAUGGAGUGGCACGUUUUCGGUCCGAUUACUACCGAAACCCAGUGGAAUCGGCCGAAUCAGAGAGCGAUUGCACCGCGAUGAAUGGACAGGACUGAACGGAUCCAGUUUUGAAGGUCGAGAUGUCGCAUGCAGCCCCGGGAUGGAAUAUUAUAAUCUUAUUAAGUGAAUAAAUACUAUGCAGGUUUUAAGUGUGCGGCGGGCCACACCCCUAAA